rnacentral:lncRNA from 1 species
CCCCAAGAGUUGUGAUUUUGUGAGACUGUUAGCAUCAACUGUGGUUUUGUGAGACCACGGCCACAAAAACUGUGGUUCUGUGAAAUUUUACUCACCAAAUUAAAAUAGCCCCAAAAUGGGGCUGAACCAAAUCGAAUCUAGGACCUAAUCUAGGGUCGAUUCAGAAGAGAUCACAUUCCUACGAUGAAGCACAUAUUUGGAAAAAAUGCAAGAAAAAAAGAAUGGAAACAAGUGAAGAUGCACGUACUACAAGCAGGUUGAUCAGUGAAAGCAUCCCACCACACCAGAGUUGGUGGAGAUUAUCAUGACCGCGUCGAUCGGUGCUAGCUCCGCUCGGGCCGCGCGAGAGCCAGCUCCGCUCGGUCAGCACAAGAGAUAGAGGUGAACUUACUCGGUC